rnacentral:rRNA from 1 species
GAUGAACGCUGGCGGCGUGCUUAACACAUGCAAGUCGAGCGGAGUUUGUAGAUGGAUUUCCUUCGGGAAUGAAGCCUACAAACUUAGCGGCGGACGGGUGCGUAACGCGUGGGUAAUCUGCCCUUGUCACUGGGAUAACACAUCGAAAGGUGUGCUAAUACCAGAUAAUAUCAAGUCAUGGCAUCAUGAUUUGAUCAAAGAACCUCGGACAAGGAUGAGCCUGCGUCUGAUUAGCUAGUUGGUGGGGUAAUGGCCCACCAAGGCGACGAUGGAUAGCCGGCCUGAGAGGGUGAACGGCCACAAGGGGACUGAGACACGGCCCUUACUCCUACGGGAGGCAGCAGUGGGGAAUAUUGGACAAUGGGCCACAAGCCUGAUCCAGCAAUUCUGUGUGCACGAUGAAGGUCUUCGGAUCGUAAAGUGCUUUCAGUUGGGAAGAAGAAAGUGACGGUACCAACAGAAGAAGCGACGGCUAAAUACGUGCCAGCCGCCGCCGUAAAAC